rnacentral:rRNA from 1 species
AUGUCGUCGUUCGCCGGCGUAUCUGUCCUGGCCGACGGCGAGCUGUGCCCCGCCACCGCGUCGACCGUCGGCACCAGCGCGGUCUGCGGGUACCACCUGCUGCUGGUCCACGACUACCCGCGCACCAAGCAAGAGGCGCCCACCGGCGACAGCAUCAGCUCCCGUCCUUUCAUGGUGGGAGGCCAUUGUUGGAUCAUCAACUACUACCCCAACGGUGAAGACUCGGACUGUGCCGACUUCAUUUCUCUCGAGCUUUCCUGUCUCCAAGACGAUGCCAACAAGAAGCAGCAGCAUGUGGUGGAAGCCAAGGUCGUUUUCAGUUUCAUAGACCAGGUUGAGAUGCAGAAUCCAGUCUACAUUGCUCAAGCUGAAACAUACAGCUUCAAUGGGUUUUCUCGGGCCAGACGCAAGUUCAUGACAAGACAAGCCCUUGAACAAUCAUCACUGCAUCUAAAGGACGAUUCUUUCACCAUCCGCUGCGACAUCAUGGUCUCCUCCUCCUGCAACCCCAAGGACGACGAUGCCACCAAGGCGCUCCUGCCUCACAUGUGCCAGCACUUUGAACAUCUCCUUCAAACCGAGGUGGGCGCUGAUGUGAGAUUUGAGGUCGGCGGCGAGACGAUGGCUGCACACCGGUGUGUGCUCGCAGCCCGAUCCAGGGUCUUCAUGUCACAACUCUUUGGCCCCAUGAAGGAGGGCACCACUAAGGCCGCUGUCAUACGGAUCAAAGACAUGGAAGCAAGCGUGUUCAGGGCCUUGCUUAACUUCAUCUACACGGACACGUUCCCUGCUAUGGAGGAUGAUGAUAGCAUGGAGGAGGACGAAACGUCACAAAUUACGGAGCAAGGACAAGAAAAGGAGACCACAUUAUCAGAGGCACGCAUGUGGCUGCAAUGGCUGCAAAACUUGUUGGUAGCGGCUGACAGAUAUGAUGUCCAACGCCUCAAGUGCAUCUGUGAAAGUGAGUUGUCUGAGCACAUAUGUGUGAGCUCGGUCAUGUCCACUCUUGCUCUAGCCGAGAAGCACCACUGCCAUGGAUUGAAAGAGGCGUGCUUCAAGUUUAUCCAAGUCCAGUCCCCCUCAUGCCUGCAAACAUUAAUGGCAUCUAAUGGCUGGGAUCAUGUCUUUGACACCUAUCCCUCGGUUUUAAAGGAGCUCAUUGCCAAGCUUGCUUCCAACCACCGGAACUAA